rnacentral:rRNA from 1 species
UACGAAGGGUGCAAGCGUUACUCGGAAUUACUGGGCGUAAAGCGUGCGUAGGUGGUGAGUUAAGUCUGUCGUGAAAGCCCCGGGCUCAACCUGGGAAUGGCGAUGGAUACUGGCUCGCUAGAGUGCGGUAGAGGGGGAUGGAAUUCCGCGUGUAGCAGUGAAAUGCGUAGAUAUGCGGAGGAACACCGAUGGCGAAGGCAAUCCCCUGGGCCUGCACUGACGCUCAUGCACGAAAGCGUGGGGAGCAAACAGG